GUUUUAAUAGUUUAAAAAAAACAUUGGUUUUGUAAACCAAAAAUAAAUAUAUUUUUUUAAAAUA